AGUUUCAAGCUCUUCUUAUCACAAUGCAAAGCUGUUGGAGCCACGGUCAUAGAAAAAUCUGGUUUGAAGGAGAUAACAGGGAGGUGAUGGAAAUCCUCAAUAGGAGAAAAUCACGUUUUGAUAUCUUUAAUUGGAUAAGAGAUGUUCAAGCUUGGAAGCAACGAUUUCAGGAAUGCAGAUUCACAUGGAUCAACCGAAAACAGAACAAACCGGCGGAUAUUCUUGCCAAGAGUCACUUACCCCAGAAUGAACAAUUUAAAUUUUAUGAUUACAUUCCGAUUGUAAUUUCUUCAGCCUUACAGCUGGAAAACUCUUGAUCAUAAUAACAAUGGAAAAUAAGAUGUUAAAAAAAAA
rnacentral:sRNA from 1 species